rnacentral:rRNA from 1 species
UACGGGGGGGGCAAGCGUUGUUCGGAAUUACUGGGCGUAAAGGGCUCGUAGGCGGCCAACUAAGUCAGACGUGAAAUCCCUCGGCUUAACCGGGGAACUGCGCGUGAUACUGGCGGACUCGAGGCGGGUAGGGGUGAGCGGAACUCCAGGUGGAGCGGUGAAAUGCGUAGAUAUCGAGAGGAACACCUGCGGCGAAGGCGGGUUGCUGGGCUGACACUGACGCUGAUGCGCGAAAGCCAGGGGAGCGAACGGG